UUCCGGUUGAUCCCGCCGGACCCGACUGCUAUCAGAGUGGGACUAAGCCAUGCGAGUCAACAUAGCAAUAUGUGGCAUACGGCUCAGUAACACGUAGUCAACAUGCCCAGGGGACGUGGAUAACCUCGGGAAACUGAGGAUAAACCACGAUAGGUCAUCACUUCUGGAAUGGGUAAUGACUUAAAUCUAUAUGGCCCCUGGAUUGGACUGCGGCCGAUCAGGCUGUUGGUGAGGUAAUGGCCCACCAAACCUGUAACCGGUACGGGCUCUGAGAGGAGGAGCCCGGAGAUGGGCACUGAGACAAGGGCCCAGGCCCUAUGGGGCGCAGCAGGCGCGAAACCUCUGCAAUAGGCGAAAGCUUGACAGGGUUACUCUGAGUGAUUUCCGUUAAGGAGAUCUUUUGGCAUCUCUAAAAAUGGUGCAGAAUAAGGGGUGGGCAAGUCUGGUGUCAGCCGCCGCGGUAAUACCAGCACCCCGAGUGGUCGGGACGUUUAUUGGGCCUAAAGCAUCCGUAGCCGGUUCUACAAGUCUUCCGUUAAAUCCACCUGCUUAACAGAUGGGCUGCGGAAGAUACUAUAGAGCUAGGAGGCGGGAGAGGCAAGCGGUACUCGAUGGGUAGGGGUAAAAUCCGUUGAACCAUUGAAGACCACCAGUGGCGAAGGCGGCUUGCCAGAACGCGCUCGACGGUGAGGGAUGAAAGCUGGGGAGCAAACCGGAUUAGAUACCCGGGUAGUCCCAGCUGUAAACGAUGCAGACUCGGUGAUGAGUUGGCUUAUUGCUAACUCAGUGCCGCAGGGAAGCCGUUAAGUUUGCCGCCUGGGGAGUACGGUCGCAAGACUGAAACUUAAAGGAAUUGGCGGGGGAGCACCACAAGGGGUGAAGCCUGCGGUUCAAUUGGAGUCAACGCCGGA
rnacentral:rRNA from 1 species